rnacentral:rRNA from 1 species
GGGUCAGCAGGUUGGUCGUGCCAAUGGUAUGCACUGGCCUUGCUGAUUUCUCCCUCUUGAUGAGCCGUAAUGUCAUUAAUUUGGUGUUGCGGGGAAUCAGGACUGUUACUUUGAAAAAAUUAGAGUGUUUAAAGCAGGCAAGCGCUUGAAUACAUUAGCAUGGAAUAAUGAAAUAGGACGUUUGAUUCUAUUUUGUUGGUUUCUAGGAUCGACGUAAUGA